GUUAGCUACACGCCGCGUUGAUAUCCGUGGUGCUAGGAGGAGAUGGGGUGUCGCGGUGUUCUUCAUGAUGAAAGCACUAUUCCUGAAAGGAGGCACAAGCUCAGCAAGAUUGUACUCAGGCUGUCUAGAGAGCUGGUCUGAACAAGAGGUUGCUGCAUGACUCAGCAGGCUUUGCAUGUGACUUCAAGGCAGGCAGCUCCUUAAUCAAGGGUUGGAGGCCAGCUUCACCUGUUUUGUAAUUUUCUUUCAGUUUAUUCCUGGUUUGGUGUUUCUGCCUUUGCUUUUGUUCUUGCGUUUGGUUUGCCCCGCUCCUUCCUUGUCACAGACCCGGGAGGUUCUGGCAUGCGGACGUGGCAUAGUGCGGGCAGGAACAGAAUGUGAACAAACCCACUGGUGGCUAACAGAAACACGGGGAGUUUAUUAAACAAAACUGAACACACUAAGAACACUACAAAAUUAAUGGACCACAAGGGGUCAAAACUAAAAAGGGGAAAGACAAAGACUAAUUUCAAAAGGUCGGAGCAACAAGGAGCAGGUAGGCAGGCAACAAAUAACAAAACACAUUGUAACCACUAAGACAUGAAAUACACCUUAUGAGCUGCAAGAAAUACUACACUGACAAGCAUCAACAUCAUUGACUCCAAAAAGAAACAGAACAGGAUCAGGAACUUAAAUACAAAAGGUUGACAAGGAUAAUUCAGGGCAUAUGAAAACAAUUAACUAAUUGAGGAGGGUGCAGGACAAGGAGCAAAUAGGGUAGAACACACAAGGACUGGCACAAGAAAACAGGCAACAGGUGAAACUAAUAAUUAACUCAAGGAACUCAAACUAACAAACCAAGAAACAGAAUCUAACACUAGGGAACAAAGACAGGUAACACAACCAAGGCACAAAGAAAGAAACCAAAACCGAAUACAAAUCACAAAACACAGGAACUAGAAAACUGAUACAAAUGAAACACAAAGGAACAAAAUCUACAAAAAUACAAAAACAGAAGAGGUGGGAUUUGAACACAA